CCUACGGGUUGCACCAGUGGGGAAUAUUGCACAAUGGGCACAAGCCUGAUGCAGCCAUGCCGCGUGUAUGAAGAAGGCCUUAGGGUUGUAAAGUACUUUCAGUUGGGAGGAAGGCGUUGAUGCUAAUAUCAUCAACGAUUGACGUUACCAACAGAAGAAGCACCGGCUAACUCCGUGCCAGCAGCCGCGGUAAUACGGAGGGUGCAAGCGUUAAUCGGAAUUACUGGGCGUAAAGCGCACGCAGGCGGUUGAUUAAGUUAGAUGUGAAAUCCCCGGGCUUAACCUGGGAAUGGCAUCUAAGACUGGUCAGCUAGAGUCUUGUAGAGGGGGGUAGAAUUCCAUGUGUAGCGGUGGAAUGCGUAGAGAUGUGGAGGAACACCAGUGGCGAAGGCGACUCUCUGGUCUACAACUGACGCUGAGGCUCGAAAGCGUGGGGAGCAAACAGGAUUAGAUACCCCUGUAGUC
rnacentral:rRNA from 1 species